rnacentral:rRNA from 1 species
CACCGCGGUUAUACGAGAGGCUCGAGCUGACAGCCUCCGGCGUAAAGAGUGGUUAAUUUUUGCCCCAAACUAAAGCCGAACGCCUGCAAUACUGUUAAACGUGCUUGCAGGUAGGAAGCUCACCCACGAAAGUGGCUUUAUUAUCUUUGAGUCCACGAAAGCUAGGAAACAAACUGGGAUUAGAUACCCCACUAUGCCUAGUCGUAAACCUAGAUAGAACCCUACCCAUAUCUAUCCGCCUGGGUACUACGAGCGUCAGCUUGAAACCCAAAGGACUUGGCGGCGCUUUACACCCAGCUAGAGGAGCCUGUUCUAGAACCGAUGAUCCCCGUUUAACCUCACCUUCUCUUGUUCCUUCCCGCCUAUAUACCGCCGUCGUCAGCCCACCCUAUGAAGGUCUAGCAGUGAGCGAAAUUGGUAUAACCCAAAACGUCAGGUCGAGGUGUAGCGAAUGAGAAGGGAAGAAAUGGGCUACAAUUACUCUAACAGAUAACACGAAUUGCUAAACGCUGAAAUUGCGAGCAUGAAGGAGGAUUUAGAAGUAAGGGGAUAAUUAGAGUGUUCCCCUGAAACGGUUAUAAAGCGUGCACACACCGCCCGUCACCCUCCCCAAGUAG